rnacentral:rRNA from 1 species
UACGGAGGGUGCGAGCGUUGUCCGGAAUCAUUGGGCGUAAAGGGCGCGUAGGUGGCCCGGUCAGUCUUUGGUGAAAGCGCGGGGCUCAACCCUGCGUCGGCCAGGGAUACUGCCGCGGCUCGAGCACUGUAGAGGCAGGCGGAAUUCCGGGUGUAGCGGUGGAAUGCGUAGAUAUCAGGAGGAACACCGGUGGCGAAGGCGGGUCUCUGGGCCGAUACUGACGCUGAGGAGCGAAAGCGUGGGGAGCGAACAGG